rnacentral:rRNA from 1 species
AGUGAACGCUGGCGGUAGGCCUAACACAUGCAAGUCGAACGGCAGCACAGUAAGAGCUUGCUCUUACGGGUGGCGAGUGGCGGACGGGUGAGGAAUACAUCGGAAUCUACUUUUUCGUUGGGGAUAACGUAGGGAAACUUACGCUAAUACCGCAUACGACCUACGGGUGAAAGCAGGGGAUCUUCGGACCUUGCGCGAUUGAAUGAGCCGAUGUCGGAUUAGCUAGUUGGCGGGGUAAAGGCCCACCAAGGCGACGAUCCGUAGCUGGUCUGAGAGGAUGAUCAGCCACACUGGAACUGAGACGCGGUCCAGACUCCUACGGGAGGCAGCAGUGGGGAAUAUUGGACAAUGGGCGCAAGCCUGAUCCAGCCAUACCGCGUGGGUGAAGAAGGCCUUCGGGUUGUAAAGCCCUUUUGUUGGGAAAGAAAAGCAGCAGGUUAAUACCCCGCUGUUCUGACGGUACCCAAAGAAUAAGCACCGGCUAACUUCGUG